rnacentral:lncRNA from 1 species
CUACUCCAUCUAAACGAUAUCCACGAUCUCAUCGAAAGACAGGGACAACUUAGCCUCUAUCAAGUGGUAUCAGAUUUUCAGGUUGCUCGGUGAGAUUCUACCAGUUUUUCAUCUUUAGAUCGGAUCUGUUCUUCAUACCUAUCGUCCACGAAACAGCCAAAAAAAAAAUAUUAGGCUUAGAUCAUCCUAUCCGAACCAAUCUGAGCCUUUGCAUAAUCUUUUCAGUAGUUUGCUUAGUUGAAUUUGCGGUUACAUCGUCGUGUCGAGUUGCUGGUCUUAGUGUCUAGUUCUUUAGAGUUUCGAGUUCUGUUCAUAGUUGUCACGCCGUCACCGCAUCGUAUUUCAUCAUAUACCAC